rnacentral:rRNA from 1 species
AUUGAACGCUGGCGGCAUGCCUUACACAUGCAAGUCGAACGGUAACGGGCCUUCGGGUGCCGACGAGUGGCGAACGGGUGAGUAAUGCAUCGGAACGUACCUUUCAGUGGGGGAUAACGUAGCGAAAGUUACGCUAAUACCGCAUAUUCUGUGAGCAGGAAAGCAGGGGAUCGCAAGACCUUUGCGCUGAUUGAGCGGCCGAUGUCAGAUUAGCUAGUUGGUGAGGUUAAAGGCUCACCAAGGCGACGAUCUGUAGCGGGUCUGAGAGGAUGAUCCGCCACACUGGAACUGAGACACGGUCCAGACUCCUACGGGAGGCAGCAGUGGGGAAUUUUGGACAAUGGGGGCAACCCUGAUCCAGCCAUGCCGCG